CUCAGGAUGAACGCUAGCGGCAGGCUUAACACAUGCAAGUCGAGGGGCAGCGGGGAGGAAGCUUGCUUUCUCCGCCGGCGACCGGCGCACGGGUGAGUAACACGUAUGCAACCUGCCCCUGUCAGGGGGACAACCCGCCGAAAGGCGGGCUAAACCCGCGUACAUGCCACCGGGGCAUCCCGGAGGCAGGAAAGGCUUCGGCCGGACAGGGAUGGGCAUGCGGCGCAUUAGGCAGUAGGCGGGGUAACGGCCCACCUAACCGACGAUGCGUAGGGGUUCUGAGAGGAAGGUCCCCCACACUGGUACUGAGACACGGACCAGACUCCUACGGGAGGCAGCAGUGAGGAAUAUUGGUCAAUGGUCGGGAGACUGAACCAGCCAAGCCGCGUGAGGGAGGAAGGUACAGAGUAUCGUAAACCUCUUUUGUCAGGGAACAAAGGCGGGGACGUGUCCCCGGAUGAGUGUACCUGAAGAAAAAGCAUCGGCUAACUCCGUGCCAGCAGCCGCGGUAAUACGGAGGAUGCGAGCGUUAUCCGGAUUUAUUGGGUUUAGAGGGUGCGCAGGCGGUCUGUUAAGUCAGCGGUCAAAGCCCGGGGCUCAACCCCGGCCCGCCGUUGAAACUGGCAGUCUCGAGUUGGAGAGAAGUAUGCGGAAUGCGCGGUGUAGCGGUGAAAUGCAUAGAUAUCGCGCAGAACUCCGAUUGCGAAGGCAGCAUGCCGGCUCCACACUGACGCUGAGGCACGAAAGCGUGGGUAUCGAACAGGAUUAGAUACCCUGGUAGUCCACGCAGUAAACGAUGAAUGCUGGCUGUCCGGGGGGAUUGACCCCUGGGUGGCGAAGCGAAAGCGAUAAGCAUUCCACCUGGGGAGUACGCCGGCAACGGUGAAACUCAAAGGAAUUGACGGGGGCCCGCACAAGCGGAGGAACAUGUGGUUUAAUUCGAUGAUACGCGAGGAACCUUACCCGGGCUCAAACGGGGAGUGACUCAGGCAGAGACGCCUGUUUCCCACGGGACACUCCCCGAGGUGCUGCAUGGUUGUCGUCAGCUCGUGCCGUGAGGUGUCGGCUUAAGUGCCAUAACGAGCGCAACCCCCGCGUGCAGUUGCUAACAGAUAACGCUGAGGACUCUGCACGGACUGCCGGCGCAAGCCGCGAGGAAGGCGGGGAUGACGCCAAAUCAGCACGGCCCUUACGUCCGGGGCGACACACGUGUUACAAUGGGUGGUACAGCGGGAAGCCAGGCGGCGACGCCGAGCGGAACCCGAAAUCCACUCUCAGUUCGGAUCGGAGUCUGCAACCCGACUCCGUGAAGCUGGAUUCGCUAGUAAUCGCGCAUCAGCCAUGGCGCGGUGAAU
rnacentral:rRNA from 1 species